AGAUGAAACAUUUUACAAAAGUGAAACAUUAUUUUGUUCAUACAGUUAAGAAUUGAAACUGUACGCAUUCUUGUAAUACUACGUUUACACCCCCAUCCCCUGUAAAAUAAAUAAAUAAAUGAAUAAAUCCCAAAGAUAUUUAAAAUAAACAGAAGAGGCAAUUGAAUACAUUAAAAAAAAAAGGGGGGGGGGGGGGGGAUCUGGGGGGAAGUGCAAUCCAAAGGCAUUAUUUCUAAGUAGCUGCCAAAAAAGAUCUUCUUUCACUACAUGUCAAGGAAGAGGAGAAGAGUUCUGAAAUGGUACAGCCUAUUUCUAGGAAGGAAGCAAAAAGAGCUGCUGGACUUGGAUAUAUACUUACAGCUUUGUGCUGUAUCACUCACAAGAUUUGUUCCAGAUUAAGGCGUAAUAAGGCCAACCAAAUUUGAGUAAUAUUAUUAAACCUUGCAUUCAGCUAUGAACGUCUUGAACUUUGGCUUAAGUCAGCAAAACACUUAAAAGUGUUCAGAAAAAAAUGUGCUAAUAAAUUAGGAUCUUCAUCAAAACCUGCUAGCUCAUAGGCACAACCAGAUUAUUUAUUUUUUUAUUUUAUUUUAUUUUAUUUAUGUUAGUAUUCACCUAUUGGCCUUUCUUAUGUAUACCUAUUUCUAGGUAUAUGUUGCAUAUUUGUAGCAGAGGAUCUCAAAUUCACUUAUAAAUAUUAACAACAAAAAAAAGUGUUUUUUCAAACUUAGACGUUAGUAAAUUGACAAAAAUCUUGCUUAAAACAAAAAGCUUUAAACCAGGGUAUGCAUUACGUGCACUACUUGAAAACCAAAAUUGAUUUCAGGCAAGGAAUUUCUUACUAAAUUUAACAGCUACCAUGUAAUCAACACUUUUCUGCACAGCUGGGGGUUAUGUGGAAAUAAAGAGCUCUUUUAAAAAUCAUGGCCCUAUAUCCUAUGAACUUACAUUUUUGUUCCAAGUUCACCAGCUUGUGAAAAAUAUUAUAUUAGUAGGGAGGGAAAAGAAAAACAUCAGAAUUUCUGUAUCAGGGCUGUAGCGAAUAUUUCAGAACGCUUCCUUUCCUGCUCUGUGGCAAGAUCCCAGUGACAGGCUGGCUGACAGCACCUUGCCUCAGUGAAAUGCAGGCACUUCUGAUACUGCCGAGUUCCAGACCUGACAGCAAAUACUGUCCUUUGCCUGGGAGAUGGCCCCAGAAAUUUAGCCUGGGGAUGUGAUGACCAUGAUGUAAUGUUUUCUUAUCCGAAUCAACAAAACUGAAUAUUGUAUGUGAAGUUAUUCUGAUUUUAUUGUUGCUCUUAAUUGAACUACUUAUUCACCCAAGACUUGCUGAGUUGCCCAGCAGUCCCUUUGAAACAACACACUGUCUACUAUUUUAAUCUUGAAAUACUUGUAUAAGAAAAUCACAAAUACUUGCAUAAGAAAAUUCCAACAGUGUAACUUUUAUGUCAACAAUUAUAUAGCUAAGAAGUGAAUAAGCUGAACACAUCCAAUUUGCAUACAACAUUUCUGAAAUGAGAAUAAUAAACUGGUUUCAAACCUCCCCUGCUGAACGUGCUUUCAAGUAAAUUCGUGCUGGAGUUUAAAAGCAUACUCUACCAUCUGCUGAGAAUGAAAAUCUGGGUCUUAUAUAUUUGGCAUGGCAAAUAAGGACAUGAACCAACCACACUCUGCCUUUUAGCAUUUCAAAGAAACUGUUCCAUACCUGUGAACUAAACCAUGCAUUUUGCCCUAUUUCUUGACAAGUUUGAUUAAUUUGCUCUGAUGUUGAUCCUGUUACUGGUAUACAGCUACUGAUAUCUAAAUUUAAGCAUGUUUGGGUAAUAGCAUUUGUUAAUAAUUGCAUUCUUUAGUAAUAGUAUUUAUUACUGUAGACAUAGGCACAUGAAUCAACCUGGAGUGUUUUUGGGAGUUCACAGAGCAAGAAAAAACAUCAGGGUUUUUGCUGCAGAGCCAUGCUGUUUCAGGCAAAUAUAUGAGAAACACAGAAACAGUUAAAAAAAAAAAAAAAAGUGUUUAAGUGUUUACUGCUUUUUCUUGUAAGUUAAAUAUUCUGUCUGACUUUUGUUUUCACAUUCAAGAUUCUACUUUAAAUAGACAGAUAAAAAUGCAUACCACUGCUAAACAGAAAAUCCCUUAUCCUUUCCUUGAGUAGAGCUACGUGCAGUACCAUCACUGGCUUGUUCUUGCUGCUGCCCCACACCUUUCCCUGCUGCAUUACGCUCCCAUCCCCUCCCUUGCCCUUCCCUCACUGCCUGCCAUUUCAGCAACUCCGCACUCUGCUCAGCCCACGGAGAUGCCUCCACCCAUUCUUUCUUCGCUCAUCUUUUUGCUUUCCAUGCUCUUCUCCCUCUGCAGCCCUGCUCUCAGGCAGACUAUCUCCUGGGCUUGCACUGGCUCAGCCUGGUUGUCUAAAGCAACAAUAGUUUCCCAUUGCUCCCUUACUUUCCACUGUCUGACACAAAAAGUAACAUUAGGAUUCAGGUCUGGUAGAAAUUCUAACAUUCUCCUUGUCUCAGAAGCUGAGGGUGGGUAAAGCAGGUUUUAUAAAAGCCAAAUUAAUAUAGUAAUGGUCUUUAUCAACAUUCUGUGCCGUACACUUCACUCUUCUCUAGGCUUUUUGACAUUUAGUAUUCUUGUCUCAGGGUAAACACACACAAAACUAAAUAUUGGAAUGAAUUCAAACUAAGCAUGCUUACAAAAAACAGUGUAACAAAGUAAUAUUUAAAUAGGUCUGUCUGCUAAGAUCUAUGUAGAUCUGUAGACCACACUGAGAUGGUGUUUUUGCUUUGCUGAGGUAAGAGCCAGAAAAGAAAAGAUCAAAAUGAAAAUCACAAUGCAACCUCUUUACUGCAUAUGUUUUUUGAUAUGACAAUUUACAUCUCCUACUAGCUGUUAAGAAGUUAUAAUCUGCUUCUCAGAUGCCCUUUGAUUCACAGAAAACUAUUUUCACAAGGAAAAGGAUCAGGAAAAUUAUGGAGUUUCUAAAAUAAUCUGUAAUAAAACAUUAUCUGACCACAGCUCUUUAGUUCUCUGCUCCUUCCCCUUCCACACAUACCCCUUCAAACAAGACGGAGCUCUUGUGACAGGAUCUCUGCAUGCACAAUGUCCAUAAGGUGCCCCGGCUACGAUGUUCACAUUCUAAAAUUCUGUUUUAGGAAUCCUCCCCUGAAAGGGACUGGUAUAAACCUGCUGAAGUCUAUGGACAAAUAGAUCCCUAUCUGACUUAAGGGUCGUGAUCUUUAAGUCAGAACUAUGAAUCAACCUUUCUUAUCAUUAAAAAUUAACCUUCAGUCAACCCUAAGUGCACGUCUAGAGACGUGUCAUACUGGAACAAUCAGAGUUGCAAACACAUAGGAGUGGCAAUUCCCUUCCAAAAAUCUUGUCUGGCCAGUUCUGCUUACGCCCUCUCACAGCCACCAGGAAGAGCCAACAGCGUUCCCACUGCUUGGAAUUCAGCAUCAGAUGCUCAUCAGUAGAUACAGGGGGAACUUCUGAGAAAAUAGCAUGUAUGUUCUAAUAAAGAAGAACCACUGCAGAUCUGUAAACUAGAAAUGCUGCUGUUCAGCUCAUUCCAAUGUACAAACUUGCAAAGGUGAAAGGAACUGGAUCAUAUACAGCCUUCCCAAAGCUCAUAACAGAAGAUGAGCUGUCCUGAUAGUGCAUUUCGAAACACCGUUCAGAAGUAAAUUUUGGAGAAUGAUUGAUGCCUUCCAUCUUGAAAAAAUCAGGGCUUCUGUUUUCCCUGCCCAGUAGAAUCUGCUGGGGAAUCUGGUAGGAAAUAUUAGUGCUCUCUGGAGCAGAAGCAGGCAUCUAUUGGGCAAGAAAGAAGGGCCUCUCUAAGGUCGAUCUGGCUAGUCAGGGCAAGUGUUUCCCAAUAUCUAUUUACUUUAGCUACAAGGCUGCAUGUAGAAUAUUUGCAUUGCAUGAGACGUCUCUAAAGACAUCUCAUUUACUUGGUUCAGCCUCCCUUUAAGAGGCGCAGAAAAAGAAGAGAAAAGGGUCAGACUAUUUUUGUGUGGCUUUUGUGACCUUGAGCUGCAAGAGCCCAAGGACCUCCUUGGUCACUCACCUUGCAGCCAGCAAGCUGCAUGGAAUCACUGCAGAUACCAGCAAGGCAGGUCUCUUUACACCUUUUGCAUUCACCUUUAAUAUAAAGAACUUUCCAGAUAACUCUUAAAUAGGCUGCCUGGUGUCACAGCAGAGCCCGUAAGCUAAUGUCUACAUACCACAAUCCUCAUGCAGUUCAACAUAAGCAGUCUUCUGAAUGGUAAACAAAUCAAUCUGUUUAUUAAUGGCGGCUUGACAGUAAAGGGUCAGUAUAUAACAUUUAUACUUAUUGACUCGAUACAACUGACUUCAUAUUCAUCACUUUCACAUGAAAAUGGAAUCGUUCUUGCCUUUGUAUUUCAGAUAUUUUCUACAGCUGCUGAAAGAAAAGAAGCUAAGCCGGCAGGCUGGCACGUGGGGAACUCUGGCACACGGCACCAGUGCAGAUAAAAACUUCUUUAGAGCUGGUGAAUGCAGCACUGUAGCAGAGUGACAUUUACCAGCUAAAACACUGUAACACAGCUUCACUGGGAUGAAAUGUCAGGCCACUGGUUAAAAACAAAACCAAGAAAAGCAGAAAACUUGCAGUUUUUCCUGUAAAGAUGUAAACAUACAUUUGCUGUAUAUCCUUAAUGGACAAGCAUUUGAGUACUGCUUGUAUUCCCAAAUUAAAAUAAUCAAUUAGACCUCCCUGCUGCCCUGGUAAUGCCCUUUCCUAACUGUACUAAGAAGCCUGAGAAAAGGAUGUGGUUGGUAAAGACAGAGAGCUACUCAAAGAGGCAAAGGAGAGGAGAAUGAUACAGGAUUGACCCAAACUGGGUUAUUGUAUGAUCUUUGUUUAUCUAUGCAAUAGAAGAGACCUACUUUUUUAACAAAGUAAGAAAAAAAAAUUACAACAUAAGAAAAAUCAGGCAUUUUAUGCUCCCUAGAAAGAAAUGUGGGACUAAAAAUGGUUACUUAUAAAUUCUGUUUUCUUCAUAUUUUUGCUAGACUGCUAAAACUCACCUUUUGUUAUAAACACUUCAUUUAAACAGCUUAUUAGCAUUUGGGAACAGAAAGUAAUGGUUCAGGCUGUGAAAGGCCAGAAGGUAUCUCUGAGGUUUGUCAGAAAGGUCAAGGAAACCUAAACAGCCGUUCCUGACAUUUUAAGGAAGGAAAGGGAAAAGGAAAGGGAUUUAAAAAAAAAAAAAAAAGAAAAGGAAAACAGGGGAGAAAGAGAGGAAGUGGGAAACUGGUUUGAACAACAAUUGAAAAGCAGUCGGCACAGAAGACAAAGGAGUUUUCAAAUAUGACCAUACUGCAAUGUACUCACAGAACAGAUUUGUGAAAUAAGCUUUCCUAUUUGCAAAUAAGACUUUAUUUAAAAACAAAAAAAUAAUUAAAUUUCUCUUUCAAGAGGAAAGAGCAUAAAUCAUUCUUGCUCAGCUCUGAGAAACAGCUUGAACCAUCUACAGAUGUGACAGAGCUCUUUGGCCAAGGGUAUUGCCAGCAGACCCUUGAUUCAGACACUGAUUUUUACGUUUCCCACUUCACCUUGGAACGCAAAUUCUGGCUUUGGAAUGGGAUUUCAAACAUCAGCAAGAUGUAACGACUAGAGAAAGCUGCUGAAAGGCAAGUCAAGUCAUCUGUGCAUUUUCAUUUUAACUGCAUGUUCUUAGCUGAUGACAGACACCGAAAUGUUGUGUUGUUGAUAGUCUGUCUUGCAUAACAAAAAUAAAUAAUGAAGCGCGUUAGCAAGUUAUAAUGUAUAAAACCUUGAGAAAAUCAGCUUUAGAAAACUCUUGAGACAAGGACAGACAAAAAAGCAAGCCUUUCACAAACUCAGUAGAAAUAACAAUAAACACAAUUCAAUGAGACGCAAAUACAGAACUCUAACAGGGGCAGAAUGCACUGUCUCGAUACAAAGAAAUCUCCUUCAGGAAACUGCAAAUCUGACCAUAGAAUAACUUGAAGGAUCUCUCAGAAACAAAGGAAAUGGAGCAGAAAGAAUGGUUACAAUGACAGAGGAACCAAGCAGUCAGACUAAGUGAAAGCUAUGCAAAGAUCCUUGGUCUCUGAAGGGAAAACUACAAGAAAAACCAUAAUAACAAACUUAUUUUUAUGGAUGGGCCAGUGUUGGAUAUUUAAGGAGUUUAUUCCCUGUUAUGAAUUCAGAGCGUAAUAAAUGUCUUUGUGGGUGUUUUGCUUGGGGGAGGGACGGGGGGCAAGAGGGGAGGAGCGAGUUAAUGUUUUCUGUGGCACAUGAAGUAGAAUCUACAACAAACUCAUUUGUACUCUGCCAUGCAAAUUAUAGAAUCUUACAAGCUUACCACCACUUGCUUGUUUUUAGUAUCAUCUUACUGUAUUGAAAAAUCCACAUUUAUGUACUGUAAAGUACUCAGCUGAACAAUUUCUUACUUCACCUACAGAAGUACCAAGCAGCUACAUAGGUAGGUGUAAUGCAGCUGCUUGGUUUCAGCUGUGUUACCUUGUCCUGCCUGAAGAUCCCCAGGGAUCUGAUUCAACUCACCUGGAGCCUGUGAGAAACACAGCUGAGUGCAGUAGCUGUGCUGCAGCUCUCUCAAUAUUUGAGACUCCUCUAAUGAAAAAGUUAAUGAAAAGUAUUGGUGAACAAACAUUUCAGCUUUUAAUAGUAAAUAUAUUUACUUUAUGAGCUUAUGAUUGAGCUGCAAGCCUGAUAAGCCAAGAAACUUGGGUUGUGCUCGUGGCUCUGCUGUGGAUUCAGCAUGAGAUUUAGUAUAUGAUGCUUUCUCUUACAUUGGUAUUUUCUAUCUUAACACCAGGAAAACAAUCAUUUAUUUCUUAGAGAGGAUGCAUCAAGAUUCCUGUAUAUCCCUUUCACCAAAGUUCUCCAGGUAUGGUAAGAAUUGCUUUUUUGAGCAUGCAUUUGUAUGGAUAGCUAACACAGAAAAAACUGUGACUUUUUCAUAGCAAGUAACUCUAAAAGGUUUCAAAAAUAAAUUGUUGGUGCAUGUGGAGGUAUUGCAGUUAUGACAGCAAUCAGAUAUUCUAGAAAAUGUAUGUCUGUUCAGUAAUCAGAAAGGGGAAAAAAAAGAAAGAAAUGUUAGAAUUUAUGAGAGAAAGGGAUUUCUACUAAGCUUAAUGUAAGUAUGGGAGAAGGAGCAUCCUUGUUCAGUCUUCUCCUAUUUUAGCUGUUUAACGUGUCUGAAAAUUGAAGAUUUGAACCUCAAGGAAUACUACCUUAGUAUUUUAAAUCUUUAAAAAAAAAAAAGAAAGCAGGAUCCUUUUCCAAUAACUCCUUGCUAUUACUGUUAUUGAUGGGGGGAGGAAGAAAGUCACUUUCCAUUUGAAUAAUAUCAAGGUCAAUGAAAAACCUACUAGUUUAUUCCUUCUGAAGAAUGAAAAUACUACCCUGUUCACCUUCCCCUGCAAAGUGUAAAAAAACAGCUAAGAUUUCACACUAUUUCCUGUUUAACUGUGCUUACAGAACACAGACUAGGACAAAAAAUCUACAUGUGUAGUCUGGUGUAAAACAGGUAAUUAAAGUAGAAUGAAUUAUACCUGGAUACACUUUUGUCUUCUACUCUCUCAAUCACGUGACUAAUCAUGUGCACAAAAGAUAGUUAUAGUUCUCUAUAGCAAGAGCUUGUGUUUGAGCUAAUCAGUGGUUACAGCCUGUAGAACUGCUAGGAAAAUAUUUAUUGUCCACUUCUGGGCAUUUUAUUGCUAAGUUUCAUUGUUAUUAUCACAUAAUAUACACAGUAGGUGAGGUGCUCUUCAGAACAAGCAGAGACUUGUGUCAUUCUGCAAGCAGAUUACCCAACUAGGGCAAAUCAUACCAGUGAAUACCAGAAUGGGAGAGAGAUGUGGAAGAGUAAUUACUUAAAUUAGAAUGUGCAGUUGGUUUCCUAAUGUGCAGUACCUUUUCUCUGCUUUGAUGGGAGUAUUAUUUUCAUCGAAGACUAAAAAAGUUUGGAGAAAGCGAGACAGAAAUCCUAGCUGGGAUUUUCUCUAGGGGAGAAAAGCAGUAGUUUCAUGAAAUACUAUGGACAAAUCCACAACAGGAUUUAAUUAUGACAGCACUUGGUAUCAUCAUUUCUGCCUUCUAGGCGUUCAGUUGCCUGGCUCCAAGUUCUCAUUCAUUGUACUCAGAAGCAGGGAGCCAGAUGAUGCGUUUCAUGUCGAUGUUGGUGCAUAAAACAGUAAAAGAAGCUCCCAGUUUCUGGAUCUUAGCAGAGCUCAGGAAUGUGGCUACUUGACACUGUCAAGAUGUAAACAACUCAAGUCUGUUUCUGGGUGUGCCUAAGGGCUUAACUGUUGGAAAGAAAGAUAACCUGGGUCAAGAAAAGCCUCUGGAGUUAGGCACAACAGCCUUGGGGAAGAAGGAGUUAGAAUCAAGACUUAGGUACAUGUAGAGAUGUGCAAGUUUGACUUUUUUUUUAAAUGAAGCUAACCUUAAGUUUAACUAUCCUGUAUUUCAGACCAAAAGUGGCAGGUCCACAAGUGGGGAAAAAAAAGGUUUCUGGAGAAGUAAUUUCCAUCCAUAUAUGAUGCUUUUGUAGAUACAUGGAAGCAGAACGGGACAUGUGAGCUCAGCGUAUUACUCAGCAUAGUUGUCAUGUAUAAAAUAAGAAUAACAGAAACAAUCAAUUGAAAACAAUAAUGAAGGACAGGGCUGGCAAAUCUCAGACACAACAAGGACAAUGGUUCUGUGAGCAACAAGAAAACUGAAGACUAGGACCUUCUGAACUACUGACUAUUUUGGGUGUCUGGAGAAGACUUCAUUCAAAGGAUUGAGCCUGUAUUCUUCAAACUUGCAAAUGUUCCUGACAAGCCUAAAAACAAGUGUAAGGAUUUGGGGACCACAUAUACAUACAAAUGAAUUAGAAGCAAUUCAAAUGCAUCAUUUCCUCCUGCAGUUCAAGAAAAAAGUCUCCUUGACUGAAAAUAUACAGUACCUGUAAGUUCUGCUGUUUAAAAUGAUGAAGCUCUCAGCAUGAUGUAAUCACGUGCUUGUUUCUUAACUCAGCAUUGAUUUCCAGGCCUAAAGUUUUUGAUGGAUCCUGUAAACUCCACCCUUUCUAGGUCUUUACUAAUCAUUUACAUUCUGCCAUGAGUGGGGGGAGAACAUUUUCCUCUAAAGGCAAUUGUUGUACAUAUUAUACAGAAUCUUUUCACUGGCAAUGGUGAAGCAUUUCAAUUCCUGUAUCACUUUACUUUGAUAAGUGUUUUAAAUCUUUAUAGCUUUCUGACUUAAUAUGUUUUAAAGAAUUCCUGAACUAUGAGAUACAUACGCAAGCAUCUUGUAGUAGAGUAUACACGUAGUACACAAGCUACUCUGAAGUGGAAUAAGAUUUGGCAUAAAGCUAAAGAUGUUUCUGAUUGUGGCAGUACCAGCUGCUGUCAAUGGGCAAUGAUGGUACCUGGCAAAAAAAAUCCUCCCCUUUAGCCCACUUUUAAUCGUGGAUACAGCAGAAUCUUAGGACAGAAGUUUGAACUAGUGGUUUUCUUAAAGACUGCAGAGGUCUUAGGUCUUACAGGCCUUGAUAAAAUAUAUUCUUAAUUCUAUGAAGACAAGUGUUUUAUUGAAGUGUUCUAUGGAAGCAUUUGGCUUUCACUUUAAAUUCCUCCCAUAAACAAAAGAACCACAGAAUUACAUUUGUAACUUCCUGCUCUUCUCCUACAAUGUAUCCUGUUGACACUUUUAAUAAUACAAUAAAGCUAGAGUGGGAUUUUCCAGUCAGUUUCUUUUGCGUUAUUUAGUUUUAGAAACAUAUAUAUAUUAAAUGAAACCAGUGGCAUAGCAAAGCAAUUCCUAAACAUUUUAUGCCUUUUAAUUAUAAACUGCUUCAUGUAAACAUUCCCCUACUAUUUCCCCCUGAAAAUGAAAAUCACUGUAAAAGGAAAAGUAACCCAUUCCCUCCUCCCUCCCAACUUUAUCUCCAAUUUCCAAAACAGCCUUGGAAAACAAGAACUGGAAAGAAGACACUUCUGUUGUUCUGCACAUUAAACUGCUCUAAAAUCCAGGAAGCAAGGAGUUUUUGAUCUCAUAGGAGCUGACCAAUAUUACUAAAACUAAUGAGAUCAAAUUAUUCACAGCAGCUUCUCUAAAUUUUCAAAACAGCUCAAAUACAUUUGAGCCUCUUUGUAAAUCACCAUAUAGUUCACAGUUGGAGCUAAAAAAUUCGGUGUACAAACAUCCUUUGUGUAUGUGUGUGUGUGUGUAUGUAUGUUGCUACUAAAUUAUGCAAAAUAACUUGUAACUGCACAAGUUCAUACAGGUUUCACUGAACUAUUAUAUUUGAAAACACAUUAAAACAUUCAUUUGAAAUUCUGUUAAAAUGCCUUUUUAACAAUGAGUUUGGAUAUCUGAGUCCUUAAUAUGACAAACUCAGCAGAAAGUCAGCUUUCACUGAAUUUUUACUUAAAGAAUUGUAAGACUUAAACCUGGGAGUCCAACGUGCGACCUUUUGAGAGCUGCAUUAAUACGAAACUUUAUUGAUCAGAUAUGUCAUAAUACUUUAUUUCUGUAAUCUGACAAACCUGAAUUCUGAUUUGAUUAAGUGUGUGGAAUAUUUAAAUAUAUAUUUUGUAAUUAGCAGCUCUGGGGGGACUGCAGCUUUGUGAGCAGCUUGAAAAGAUUACCAAAAGUGAGAGGAAUCUGGUUGCCACUGUGGCAAUGAUGUUUUUGUCAUCAGAUGAGAUAAUUAAUUGUCAGACAGCCAAAGACUAAGUAAAUAUGCAUGUAGUUGAAAAGUCUAUGCAAACAGAAGAAUUAAAUCUGUACAUAUUCCUACUGCUCUGAACCUGUCUGUUCCAGACUGAUCAUACCAUUUCAGGAGUGAAACCAGCUGACAGUAUAACCAGGUUUUCAGGCAGAGUUUGUGCUGUUGCAAUCCUGAAGAGAUAUGAUCAAGAACCUGCAACCUUGUCUGUGCUAGCUUUGCCAGCAUUAACAAGGGGGUGACAAGCUCCCUGGUGUUACCUGAAAACUCUGAGAAGGGAGACUGGUAUUUGCUAAUCUAAUUCACGAACGCUGCAACCCAUUCUGUUUCUUGGUAUAUUGCAACUAUUCUUUCAGCUUGUAAAAUUAAAAAACUUAUGUCCUGUAAAAUGCACAUCUAAGCAGAUGUAUGAGAUCUGCAAUGUCUUGGUAUUCCAAAUGCUUCUGUGAUUAGAUUAUUAAGUUCUUAGUAAAUUAAA